rnacentral:rRNA from 1 species
UACGGGGGGGGCAAGCGUUGUUCGGAAUUACUGGGCGUAAAGGGCUCGUAGGUGGCCAACUAAGUCAGACGUGAAAUCCCCAGGCUUAACCUGGGAACUGCGUCUGAUACUGGAUGGCUUGAAUUCGGGAGAGGGAUGCAGAAUUCCAGGUGUAGCGGUGAAAUGCGUAGAUAUCUGGAGGAAUACCGGUGGCGAAGGCGGCAUCCUGGACCGGGAUUGACACUGAGUGAGCGAAAGCCAGGGGAGCAAACGGG